UGUGUUAGUGAUAGCAUCGGGGCUUAGCGAGAAUCUAUAUGGAAGUUAGAAAUUAAUGACUAUGAGGAGAUCCAGGAAAACAUACCGGAGACCAAGCACGUGGAGUUAAUGUAUUGUAUUGGCAUGUACUCAUAACCCUCGAUAGGAGAGGAGACUAGUCCUUAAUGGAAUAAGGAUUAGGAUAUGGAUAUAAGCUAUCUUGGUGUUGAAGGCUGAAGAGUUUGGUGGAAAGGGGAAUGAUUGUAUUUGGAAGUGGAAGCUCUAAGUAUUGGAUACCAUUCCAGUAGUAGUCGAGUAUGCAGACGCUUUUGAGCAUUUUUAAAGACCCACUGAACUGAGAUAGUGCAUACACCAUAGAGCAGAAAUACAAAACAUCGUCUAGUCAAAGGAAUCAUAUCGGUUAGCACCAUAUAGUUCGUUGAGUUUUUGGAACCUACAGCAAGUAGCUUUGGAGUUCACUAAGAGCGAUUU
rnacentral:lncRNA from 1 species